rnacentral:rRNA from 1 species
GUCUUAGUGCGGAAGUUUUCGGAUGGAAGGAUUAAGACUUAGUGGCGGACGGGUGAGUAACGCGUGGGUAACCUGCCCUGUACAGGGGGAUGACAGUUGGAAACGGCUGCUAAAACCGCAUAACAUGGAGAUACCGCAUGAUAUUUCCAUCAAAUAUUUAUAGGUACAGGAUGGGCCCGCGUCUGAUUAGCCAGUUGGCAGGGUAAUGGCCUACCAAAGCGACGAUCAGUAGCCGGCUUGAGAGAGUGACCGGCCACAUUGGGACUGAGACACGGCCCAAACUCCUACGGGAGGCAGCAGUGGGGGAUAUUGCACAAUGGGGGAAACCCUGAUGCAGCGACGCCGCGUGAGUGAAGAAGUAUUUCGGUAUGUAAAGCUCUAUCGGCAGGGAAGAAAAAGCGCGCGAGCGCCCUUGACAGUACCUGACUAAGAAGCCCCGGCUAACUACGUGCCAGCAGCCGCGGUAAUACGUAGGGGGCAAGCGUUAUCCGGAUUUACUGGGUGUAAAGGGAGCGUAGGCGGCCAUGCAAGUCAGAAGUGGAAACCCGGGGCUCAACCCUGGGAGUGCUUUUGAAACUGUGCGGCUAGAGUGUCGGAGGGGUAAGUGGAAUUCCUAGUGUAGCGGUGAAAUGCGUAGAUAUUAGGAGGAACACCAGUGGCGAAGGCGGCUUACUGGACGAUGACUGACGCUGAGGCUCGAAAGCGUGGGGAGCAAACAGGAUUAGAUACCCUGGUAGUCCACGCC